ACUUAGUGGCGGACGGGUGAGUAACGCGUGGAUAACCUGCCUUAUACAGGGGGAUAACGGAGAGAAAUUUCCGCUAAGACCGCAUAAGACCACAGCACCGCAUGGUGCAGGGGUAAAAUAUUUAUAGGUAUAAGAUGGAUCCGCGUCCGAUUAGCUAGUUGGUGAGGUAAAGGCCCACCAAGGCGACGAUCGGUAGCCGGCCUGAGAGGGUGAACGGCCACAUUGGGACUGAGACACGGCCCAA
rnacentral:rRNA from 1 species